rnacentral:rRNA from 1 species
GGUGGAGUGAUUUGUCUGGUUUAUUCCGAUAACGAACGAGACUCUAACCUGCUAAAUAGUUCGCCGGUAGCUUAGCCGGUGUGACUUCUUAGAGGGAUCAGCGGUGUUCAGCCGCACGAAAUUGAGCAAUAACAGGUCUGUGAUGCCCUUAGAUGUUCGGGGCUGCACGCGCGCUACACUGAAAGGAUCAACAUGAUAUGCUCCUGUUCCGAAAGGAUCGGGCAAUCCUCUGAAAACCUUUCAUGAUUGGGAUAGGGAAUUGCAAUUAUUUCCCUUGAACGAGGAAUUCCCAGUAAGUGUGAGUCAUCAGCUCACGUUGAAUACGUCCCUGCCCUUUGUAC